rnacentral:lncRNA from 1 species
UCGGAGAAGGAGGCAGAUCGGAGCUUCGGGAUGAGAAACUUCCGGUAUCUUAAUACCAUCAAAGAGGCGGUGGAGAGAGAAUGCCCCAACGUAGUCUCCUGCGCUGAUAUUCUCGUUCUGUCCGGUAGAGAAGGCGUUGCUGCGGUAUAAGAGUCGAUUUAUUUAUACAUGCAUGGCAAUAUGGCAUACAUCUUAAUCAUUUCAUUAUAUAUAAUUUCAGUUGGGAGGACCGUACAUUCCACUGAAGACCGGGAGAAGAGAUGGGUACAGAAGCCGUUCAUCCUCUGUUCUGGAAGAGUAUCUACCCGACCACAACGAGAGCAUCUCUACCGUGCUUGAGAAGUUCGCAGCCAUGGAUGUGGACACUCCCGGACUGGUGGC